AGUCGAGCGAAGUGUGAUCUCAGAUGAAGCUUGCUCUUAUGAAGUUAGCGGCGGACGGCGUGAGUAACACGUGGGUAACCUGCCCAUAAGACUGGGAUAACUCCGGGAAACCGGGGCUAAUACCGGAUAACAUUUUGAACCGCAUGGUUCGAAAUUGAAAGGCGGCUUCGGCUGUCACUUAUGGAUGGACCCGCGUCGCAUUAGCUAGUUGGUGAGGUAACGGCUCACCAAGGCAACGAUGCGUAGCCGACCUGAGAGGGUGAUCGGCCACACUGGGACUGAGACACGGCCCAGACUCCUACGGGAGGCAGCAGUAGGGAAUCUUCCGCAAUGGACGAAAGUCUGACGGAGCAACGCCGCGUGAGUGAUGAAGGCUUUCGGGUCGUAAAACUCUGUUGUUAGGGAAGAACAAGUGCUAGUUGAAUAAGCUGGCACCUUGACGGUACCUAACCAGAAAGCCACGGCUAACUACGUGCCAGCAGCCGCGGUAAUACGUAGGUGGCAAGCGUUAUCCGGAAUUAUUGGGCGUAAAGCGCGCGCAGGUGGUUUCUUAAGUCUGAUGUGAAAGCCCACGGCUCAACCGUGGAGGGUCAUUGGAAACUGGGAGACUUGAGUGCAGAAGAGGAAAGUGGAAUUCCAUGUGUAGCGGUGAAAUGCGUAGAGAUAUGGAGGAACACCAGUGGCGAAGGCGACUUUCUGGUCUGUAACUGACACUGAGGCGCGAAAGCGUGGGGAGCAAACAAGAUUAGAUACUCUGGGUAGUCCACGCCGUAAACGAUGAGUGCUAAGUGUUAGAAGAGUUUCUGUCCCUCUAUGCUGAAAUUAAUGCACUAAGCACUCCGCCCGCGGGAGUAGGGACGGGCCGGCUGGAUCU
rnacentral:rRNA from 1 species